rnacentral:rRNA from 1 species
CGACCGGGUGAGUAACACGUGACCAAUCUACCCUUGAGUGGGGGAUAACCUCGGGAAACCGGGGCUAAUACCGCAUAACAUCUCUGGAUCGGAAGAACUGGAGAUCAAAGGAGCAAUUCGCUUAAGGAGGAGGUCGCGGCUGAUUAGCUAGUUGGCGGGGUAAUGGCCCACCAAGGCAAAGAUCGGUAGCCGGCCUGAGAGGGCGCACGGCCACACUGGAACUGAAACACGGUCCAG